GAGGAUAGCUCAAUGGUAGAGCUCCAGCCUUCCAAGCUGGAUGUUGCGGGUUCGAGCCCCGUUCCU
rnacentral:tRNA from 3 species